rnacentral:rRNA from 1 species
GUUCGCCAGAGACUACUAGCCACAGCUUAAAACUCAAAGGACUUGGCGGUGCUUUAUAUCCAUCUAGAGGAGCCUGUUCUGUAAUCGAUAAACGCGGCUUUACCUUACCACUUCUUGCUAAUUCAGCCUAUAUACCGCCAUCUUCAGCAAACCCUAAAAAGGCACUAAAGUAAGCACAAGAACAAACAUAAAAACGUUAGGUCAAGGUGUACCCAAUGAAGUGGAAAGAAAUGGGCUACUUUUUCUUUCAAAGAACAUUACGAAACCCUUUAUGAAACUAAAGGACAAAGGAGGAUUUAGUAGUAAAUUAAGAGUAGAGAGCUUAAUUGAAUAGAGCAAUGAAGUACGCACACACCGCCCGUCACCCUA